CGGUCACGGAGAGGCACAAGAAACUUACGAGUCUUACACUGAAGAUAACUGGGAGGGCGGAGCUUGGGGCAGUGCCGGUGGAAAGGCUCAGGCUGCCCGACAGGGCAAAGCGUAUCGGGAACAUCCAUACGGCAGAUACUGAGAGCUGUCCGUCACUACGGUUGCCUGGCAACAUCCUCCCCUCGUAACCUCUUGUAACCACCUAAAGUAAUUCUAGUUAUUUUUGUCUUCUGUUUUGGUUAAGACUUCUUUUUAAUAUUCUGAAUCUACUCUUUAAGUAGGACGAUGACCAUAAGUUCAAUGUGACAUUUUACAUUUGCGAUUUAUAUGCUGUGCUUAUUCUCUUUGCAUUUGUUUUGUUUGUUUAGUUUUGCUGUUUUUGUUCAUUUAUUUUAAUGCUUAAGUGUUUCUUCUCUGAAAAAGUUGAUACCUGAAUGCUAGAUAAUUAGCUGAUGGUCAUGUGUAAAAU